rnacentral:rRNA from 1 species
GUGUCAGCCGCCGCGGUAAUACGUAGGUGGCAGGCGUUAUCCGGAAUUAUUGGGCGUAAAGCGCGCGCAGGUGGUUUCUUAAGUCUGAUGUGAUAGCCCACGGCUCAACCGUGGAGGGUCAUUGGAAACUGGGAGACUUGAGUGCAGAAGAGGAAAGUGGAAUUCCAUGUGUAGCGGUGAAAUGCGUAGAGAUAUGGAGGAACACCAGUGGCGAAGGCGGCUCUCUGGUCUGUAACUGACGCUGAGGAGCGAAAGCGUGGGGAGCGAACAGG